rnacentral:pre_miRNA from 1 species
UUAACUCAUCUUUGUGUGGAAUUGGAUCGUUUGCCUGCGUUUGCCGCUAGAGGCGCUGUUCCAACUGCACACAAAAUCGAAUUA